rnacentral:rRNA from 1 species
GACGAACGCUGGCGGCGUGCUUAACACAUGCAAGUCGAGCGGUAAGGCCCUUUCGGGGGUACACGAGCGGCGAACGGGUGAGUAACACGUGGGUGACCUGCCUUUAGCUCUGGGAUAAGCCUGGGAAACUGGGUCUAAUACCGGAUACGACUCCGCGGUGCAUGCUGUGGGGUGGAAAGCCUUGUGCGGCUGGAGAUGGGCCCGCGGCCUAUCAGCUUGUUGGUGGGGUGAUGGCCUACCAAGGCGACGACGGGUAGCCGGCCUGAGAGGGCGACCGGCCACACUGGGACUGAGACACGGCCCAGACUCCUACGGGAGGCAGCA